rnacentral:lncRNA from 1 species
CGUUUCCAAAUCAAAACAAUAAAAUAUUAUUUUCUGGCUCACAGGGGCAUUUUCGUCAUUUUUCUUCGAUAAUUUCGAAACUCGCCAAAAAUAUGGUGUAAAGCUAAAUAUGUUCAUACAUAUUUUAGAUCAGAUAACUAUAGUAUAAAAUUACUUUUACAAUGACACGUGAGCCCCCAACUAACCAAUAAGAUGCGAGUCUGUGAACCUAUAAUUUUGACAAUGUAAGGCUAACUGAAUUCCUUGAUGCAAUCGGCUAUCUACCGACUAUCCCGAACCUGAAAUGUGGGGAAUUGAGGGUGGUGAGAUUAUAAAAUCCCAGUGAAUAAACAAACACCAUCUAAAUAAUCUAAAGGCGAGUAAAUGGAGACAAUUAAAAAUAAUUAACUUCAGCAAAUUUUUCACAUCACAAAUAUUCAUUUCAACCAAAUAAUCAAUAUGGCUCGUGAAUUACUCAAAACUUGGCUCAUGUCAAAUCUUGUAUUCGGGGACACCUGGACCAAGGGUAUCCAACCGAGUUCGCCAAGGCUGUUAAAAAUUCAUAUUUCGCAUAAAUCAUAUUUUUAUUUUGAAACAUAACAAUUCCUUGGCGUUGGCUGAGUCUCACUCUCACGCGAUGGUCCACGUGAAGUGCACUAAAAAACCCCACCUCAUGAGAUACACUACGCGCCUCUACGACCGAGGUGAGAAUAUAAAGGAGUUUACCGUGCCCCUCUAAUAGGCUAGCCCACGGAACCCCCCAUCACUGUAGUAGCUAAUCUUUUAUCUACCACCUGAUUUAUAAAAUCUUUUUCUGCAUGAUAUGGUAAUUUAUUGCAACCUAGCCUCUCAAGGCUAAAUACACAGUACAAAUAAUUCUAACACCAAAAUCAGUUUAGCCAGUCAUGCUCAUUUAUUGUCAUAAGCCAUUCAAUUUAAAACCAUAAAUUUACAACACAAGCAGGCAGUCUCCAAUUACUCCAUUUUCAAAACCAGUAUUCGAUUUUUCAGAAUAUUUAUAAAAUCAUUUUAUAAAAUCACAAUUUCUCUUAAAACAUAGCAAUUUACCAUUUAAACCCAUUUUUCAUAAAAUCACACAAUUGUAUAAAACUACUCUAGAUAAAUAAGACGGUAACAAGUUUACUCACAGUUUUCGAAAACUAAAUUCGGGUACUCCAACUAUUACUCCACGGGUGCGAUUUCUUUGCCCUUGCUAGAGAAUUCGUCACCUUGACAAAUUGCACAAUUAAGAGGUUUACUACUUUGGUACUAAACUAAAAUAAACUAAUUUAUAUUACUAAUGCAUGAUAUGAAGUGCAAAAUGUCUAAAUUUUACCUAAACGCGAUGUUAGCCUAUUUCGGUCUUUUACCCGAUAAAUAGAUAUACGCGUCCGUUUAAACUCCAAAUUAAUUUUUUUCAGUUUCUAUACCUCAAUUGCACCCAAAUUGACUUAAUGUUCCUCAAUGUGGUGCAAAUUAUCAGUCAUGAUAGCAAAUUACGAAAAUACCCCUAGUGGGUAAAAAUUCAUAUUUUUGCUUCGAAAAUUCCCAUUAUUUUUCUAGGCUCAUAAUUCAUCAUUAUUCAUCAUAAUUCCUCAAAUAAACAUCAAGAUCAGUAGCCAAUAUUCCUCUAGAAAAUUCGGCCAAUAAUGGUAAUGGGGGAAAAUGAAUUCUUUUCUUGUUGUUUUGUUUCUAAAUAUGCUAAACUAACUAAAAACACUAACAUAACUUAAAAUCAAAUCAAUCUAACUUCAUUCUCUCUCCAUACCCAUUUGGGCAGCCAUGAAUUCACCAUGAAAACAUGAAAUCUAACCAUGGAAAAUAAGGAGAAAAGCAUGGGAAAGGUAGAUCACAAGUCAAAAUCAAGAAAUUUUACCUUUGAUUGCUUGAUUCCUUGAAAUCCACCAAUUUUCCUUUAAUUUUCCCACCUAGGUUUCUUGUUUUUUCCUUUCCUCCUUUUGUUCUUCCUUUUUCUUUGUUUGGCCGGCCAUGUAAAAG